rnacentral:misc_RNA from 1 species
AAGUCGUAACAAGGUCUCCGUUGGUGAACCAGCGGAGGGAUCAUUAGCGAGUUACAAAACUCCAAACCACUGUGAACUUUACCUUUUUUCAGAAUGUUGUUUCGGUGGGUAGUUGGUGGCAAGUUCACCAACGUGCCCUGCCCGGCCAGCUGGGCGCCUACCGGCAGCACCAAAAAAUUCUUUAUAUUUAUAGCGGAGUUUUCAACUCUUCUGAGUAUGUUUAAAACAAAAUAAGCAAAACUUUCAACAACGGAUCUCUUGGUUCUG